rnacentral:rRNA from 1 species
UAUGGAGGGUGCGAGCGUUGUCCGGAAUCACUGGGCGUAAAGGGCGCGUAGGCGGCCUGAUAAGUCGGGGGUGAAAUCCUGCGGCUUAACCGCAGGGCUGCCUUCUAAACUGUCAGGCUAGAGCACAGUAGAGGCAGGUGGAAUUCCCGGUGUAGCGGUGGAAUGCGUAGAGAUCGGGAAGAACAUCAGUGGCGAAGGCGGCCUGCUGGGCUGUUGCUGACGCUGAGGCGCGACAGCGUGGGGAGCAAACAGG